rnacentral:rRNA from 1 species
CCUACGGGAGUGCAGCAGUGAGGAAGAUUGGGCAAUGGGCUUACGCCUGAACCAGCCAAGUCGCGUGAGGGAAGACUGCCCUAUGGGUUGGAAACCUCUUUUGUCAGGGAGCAACGCCGGCUACGUGUAGCCGGACGGAGAGUACCGGAAGAAAAAGCAGCGGCUAACUCCGUGCCAGCAGCCGCGGUAAUACGGAGGAUGCGAGCGUUAUCCGGAUUUAUUGGGUUGAAAGGGUGCGUAGGCGGAAUGCCAAGUCAGCGGGAAAAUCGCGGGGCUCAACCUCGCUCCGCCGUUGAAACUGGCGUUCUUGAGUGUGCGAGACGUAUGCGGAAUGCGUGGUGUAGCGGUGAACUGCAUAGAUAUCACGCAGAACUCCGAUUGCGACGGCAGCAUACCGGCGCCCAACUGACGCUGACGCACGAAAGCGUGGGUAUCGAACAGGAUUAGAUACCCCUGUAGUC